rnacentral:siRNA from 1 species
GGGCUACACUACGCGUGAGAUA